rnacentral:lncRNA from 1 species
AAGGCUACUUGAUUCCUCCCUCAGACAUGGUUUCUCCAUGUAAUCCUGGCUGUUCUGUAACUCACUCUCUAGACCAGGAUGACCUCUAACUCACAGAGAUUUGCCUGCCUUUGCCUCUCCAGUGUGACAGUACCGUACAACUACGUUUACUUUUUCAAAACCAAUAAGCAUUUAUUAUUUUUAUCAAGGCUUCGGGCCUGUUUUCAUUCACACAUUUCCCUUUCAGGCCCACUCUGAAGCAUACUAUUGAAACAAGGACCAUUUCCAAGUUGAGUAAGAGACG